AUGGCCGUCACGGGGCCCUGGGUCGUUUUCAGGCAUCUGACUCAAUCCAGCUCCAGAUCUUGCUCUUUCUCAGGUGGAUCUUCAGUGAGGACCAUUGCCACAACCAGUGACCGUGACCUGCCUGACCAUCACAACCCCAUGUCCACCUGGUCCACAUCCCCAGACCAGGACUACUUGGCCUUGGUGUGGCUCUGCCUCCACCUGCUGCAGUUGUUCUCCACCUGUGUGGCCUUCUGGCUGGUGAUUUCUGGCCUUCAGAAGUGGAGCGUAGGUGCCAGGGCCGUAAAUAUCUGGGCCUUGCUCAUCUGGUUCCUCUCUUUGCCCAUAAGCCUCAUUGUAGUCAUAGUUGAGUUAUAUUACAUCCAGUUCCACUUUCAUUUCUCAUACCACAUGCCCCUCACAGAUGCCUGCUUCGCUGCUCACGUCUGUUUCUCACUAUACGUGGUCCAGUCUAUACGGAGCCUCGGGUUUUCACUGUAUGGCCCUUUCAUAGACCGGGUCAACGUUGCCCUAUCAUUCACCUACAUUACGUGCUUCUUUUAUGGUGUAGAAGUGUCCUGCAUGUGGAACUGCUACAAGCUCAAGGACCUCACCUGCAGGGUGUGCUAAAGGUGCUGGAGAGCUUUGCUGCCUGUGUCAUCCUCGCCUUCAUCUUCAACACCUCCCGGCACCCGAAGGAGCCAGCUUACUGGUGGUGUCUAGCCAUCUAUUAUUUCUGCUUCGCCCAAGUGACCGUGGCCACGCUGCUGGGCCUGGGCAACUGGGAGUACUGGCUGCCCGUCCAGGUUGUGCUGACCCUGCUCUCUGUCCUCCUCUACUCCUCUGCUUUGGUCCUCUGGUGGCUCACCCAGUAAAUGAGGAGACUGAGAUCAAGCCCGAGGGAUUCUGGCACCUGUACAUAUUGGGGCUCACCCACUGCUCGAGUUGCAGGGACUGUCGACUGGCUGUGGCCAUCCUGACAACCAUCAACCUGCUGAUUUAUGUGGCUGACCUGGUGAUUUCAGCCCGCUAGGUUUUUGUCAAGGACUGAGGAUCAGCCCUCUUGUCAAUGGAGGUUUCUACACUAAGCUCUGAUGUCAUCUUCCUAGCUCCCCUUCUCACACCCUUCCCUGUUCUUCUCUCUAUUUUUUCUUCUUCCUCCUCUCCAUCUGCUCUUUGUCCUGUUUUAUGUGUUUGCCCACACCCUGUUUUGUCUUUCUCUUGCUUCUCUCAUCUUUUCUACAUUUUCUGCCUUUGCCCCUUUUCUGAUCAUCCUUGGUUUUCUUGUCUCCUAUGUCCUGACCAUUUUCCUGCUGAUCCAUCAAGACCAGACUUCUUCCUUCUCUGCCCACCACCCCUUCCCACCUCCUAAGGUGCUGACUUCACAGCACACACCUCUCUGUGUGGCUGUUCACACCCUGGACAUCUGGAGGGGCCUCGUUACCAAAGCAAGUCUCUACCCCUGGCGGUGUCUUGGUGUGUGUGGGUGGGUUUGGGAGUGGGGCGGGUAACUAGGCAUUGGGUCCCAAUUAUCCGAGUAGAGUAAGGGGUGUACUUGUGCCCUCCCUUCAAUUAAAAAAAAAAAAAAAACUCAAGAGGUCAAUUAUUUCCAGUGGGCAGAAGUCUUAAAACAGAGGCCCUGGAUUCCAGGGCCCCACCUGGUGUUCAGCUCCUCUGAGAUUGGCUCCAGAAUUUUUGCAGACUCACUAAACACCCGCUGCCUAGAGGGCAUCUUAGAGGAAGCCAGGUUAAUGCCUUCCAUCCUAACUACCCUCUAGGGAAUCAAAAAAAGGGAGCUGGUGAAGAACCCAGGACCUUGAAGACACUUGUCUGCAGUGUUGGUUGAGGGGCAGCGUUGUGGCCCUCCUGCCUCAGUGUUCAAAACAGCAGGCCCUGCCUCUGCAGGGAGAAGAGCAUGGCCACUGCAGCCUUAAAGGCGAUGUUAGGCUGAGAUUUUUUUUUUCUAUCUUCUGAUCAGGAGGGUAAAAAUUAUUGAGUAACCCUGUACUUAAAAGGGGAAGUUUCUUUUCAGAUUUUCUUGGGCAGGUGGUUUGUGGGGGUGGGGGUUGCUGCUUCCAUUGUCAAAGCAACUGCAGUGCUUGAGUGUGAGGGGACACACACUUGUGUGUUGCUCUGUGCCAGUUGCUUUCUGCUGUUGUUUCUUGGUUCUCUGAGACUCAGGCAUAAUGUGAUCUAGAUCAGUGUAUAUAAUUUUUAAAAAUUCCCUGGAGCUUCUGGUUCCCAUCAGUCCCUGAUGUCAGUCAUAGAGAAAAGGCUUGUCCCUUUGCCUAUAUCCACAAUGUCCCUUUUUAAUCUCAAUAUAAUGAUGAGAGAAGCAAAAUUAAAAAAAUGAGAAAGAUAUUCACAUAUUCUAAUUGCCCCAAUUUGUCUAGAGUGCAGAAGAGUCCAGCCAAUUUCCACCCUCACCCAAAUCUGUUUCUGGAAGCCCUUCCCACUGACUCCCCAUCCACACCUGGAUCAAAGCCUUGGGGUGUGGCCCAGCCUGUGACACAAGACGUGGGGUCCCACCUCAAUGACAACAUCCCAUCCCCCUAACUCUUAAAGGGGCCUUUGCAGGAAGGUGUGUCCUUGUAUGUAUGCAUAGUGCACAUGUGUGUGCAUGCUGUGUGCCCAUGUGCUCCCCUGUAUUGAGACCAGCAGCCCUUUGCAGUAACCGGUGGUUGUGAAGGCCCCACAAGUCUCCUGUCCUCAAUCACAGAGCCUCAGAGCCCAGCAUCCUGGUGUCACCAGGACCAGAGGGGCCAGGCAAGCAGAGCUGCGGGGGAGGGGAGGGGAAGGACCCCCACUUCUGCCUUUCACUCCUGGACUGGGAUGAAGCCAUGUGUUGUUCACCCAGGGGCAGGUGGGAUGGAGCAGGGGGCACUCCCAGGAGGUAGUCCCUAUGGCAGACAAAUCUUAAGAAGCAUUGAAAUAAAAUUAACAUUUUAAGGAAAAACAAGAGAAAUUUAAACAUAAACUUUUGGUUAAAUACUGCAGAGAUCACAUGAAAUAAGCACUGAAAAGUGUCCACUGGAUGUGACCAUUUGAAAGUCAUUGACAGCCUUGCUUAGAGCUUUUCAUGAAGUCCUCAGGACAGAAGCCAGUGCAUUGGAGACAGAGAAAGAGAAGGAAAGACAGUAAAUAUAGGUUUCUCCUGGGGUAGCUAGUGCCUGUGAAGGGAAAGAGAAGGUCACAGUUGGAGAGGAGCCAUGGGUCAAGGGAACCUAGAUGAUAAGUUUGCAAAAGGCCAUUUACUAUUGCUUGACUUCAACCCAAAGGAACAUCCAAAUACUGACCCAAGGUCCAAAGGGGGAAAAUAUUUUUUAAUGCCCAGAACAUGAUAAAAUGUGAAUCCGGGUGACAGUGUAUGAAACCAUUUAUGUAAAUAGUAAAUUUGUUAACUUGUUAUCUGUCUGAAUGGUCCAACUUUUUUGGAGUCAGAACAGGAAAUAAAGAGAAAAAGAGUAAAGGUUAUUAAUGUGAAGAAACUUGUGAUUAUCACUUCAGGGUUACUUACUUCAUGAACCCAGAGCUUCUGUAUAGUAUAUUGGACAGUAGAUGCAUGCGGCUAUUUAAUUUUUUUAAAUCAUAUCCUUUUGUUUUAUUUAUUUAUUUAUUUUAGCCAAGCCAUGCAGCAUGUGGGAUCUUAGUUCCCCAAACAGGGUCUGAACCUGUGCCCCCUGCAGUGGAAGUGCAGUCUUAACCACCAGAGAAGUCCCCUUAUUUUUAACUAAAUAAAAUUCAAUAGAUUGAAACAUGCAAGUCCUCAGUCUUACCAGCCACAUUUCAAGCACCAUAUACCCACUUGUUGGAGGCUACUGUAUUGAACAAGGCAGGUAUAGAAUAUUUCUAUCACUGCAGAAAGUUCUACUGGGGACUUCCCUGGUGGUCCAGUGGUUAAAAAUCCACCUUGCAAUGCAGGGAAUGUGGGUUCAAUUCCUGGUUGGGGAAGUAAGAUUCCACAUGUCAUGAAGCAACUAAGCCUGCAUGCCACGACUACUGAGCCCAUGUGCAUCAACUAGAGACUCCAUGCACCACAGCCAAAGGUCCCAUGUGAUGCAACUAAGACCCGAUGAAGCCAAAUAAGUGAAUAAAUAAAUAUUUUAAAA